UCCAGCCAUGCCGCGUGCAGUGAUGAAGGCCUUCGGGUUGUAAACUGCUUUUGUACGGAACGAAAAGACUCUGGUUAAUACCUGGGGUCCAUGACGGUACCGUAAGAAUAAGCACCGGCUAACUACGUGCCAGCAGCCGCGGUAAUACGUAGGGUGCGAGCGUUAAUCGGAAUUACUGGGCGUAAAGCGUGCGCAGGCGGUUAUAUAAGACAGAUGUGAAAUCCCCGGGCUCAACCUGGGAACUGCAUUUGAGACUGUAUAACUAGAGUACGGCAGAGGGGGAUGGAAUUCCGCGUGUAGCAGUGAAAUGCGUAGAUAUGCGGAGGAACACCGAUGGCGAAGGCAAUCCCCUGGGCCUGUACUGACACUCAUGCACGAAAGCGUGGGGAGCAAACAGGAUUAGAUACCCUGGUAGUCCACGCCCUAAACGAUGUCAACUGGUUGUUGGGUCUUCACUGACUCCCUAACGAA
rnacentral:rRNA from 1 species